UCCAAAUGCUAUUGCUUUUAGUUUUACUUGCUCCUGUUUUGAGGUAUCUGUCUCAGAUUUUAGCCCCCACCCCAACACAACGGAUGUGAAUUGAAUUGCUCAUGUCAGUGAAAAACAUCAUCUUUUUCCAGAGAAAGUGUCUGGUUACUCUGACUAAUCCACACAAGCUGCUACAUCAAGCCUUAUAAAUCAUUAUGCAAAUAUAUCCAUGUCAGUGUACAUGUCAGCCAAUAGAAAAAAAUUAAGUGAAAUAGCACAAACUGUUGAGACACCUGCUUGGUAACCAGGGCUGGUUCUAGGCAGGCAUAUAUGAGGGGGUAGUCAGAAAUGUGAAAGGAGCAUCGAUGGUACACAUCAUGCUACAGCAGCAAUUUUCUGGGGGAGUAUUUCACACACAUUUUGUGGAGGGCAUUUUUGCCUAUGCCAGUGUUCUCUCCUUUGAAUUGGGUUAUUAGCUAUGUAUCCAACCCCCAACCUGGAGAAGUGAAUUGCACUUUGUCAGGCCUCCACCCUGUGACCUGUCCAGCUUGGGUGUCCCACCUGAAGACUAAACUUCUGCUGGAAUAGCUUCUAGGGUCAGUGAGGCACGCAAAACCCCCUGAGCAUGAUAAGGUGACAACCCCUCAGGGGGAAAACUGAAAAAUAAAGAUGAAAAAAUAACAAAACAGAUCCCUAAUCCAGAUUUUAACAAUUAACACCAUAACAUACAGUUUCUCAAUUGCAUAAGCCUUAUUCUCAAAAUUUGAACUUAAUUACCAAGCCUUUUCUCAAACUUUUCAAAGUAAUGUAUAACACCUCUGCGCUUCUGUGGCUGAGACACACUCCACUCCAACAGGCACUGGGAGAAGAGCAGAACUACCAGUAGGCUGUUUCCCAGUUGAACAUCUAUAGAUAGAUAUAUGUUUCAUUUACUUUUGUUUUUCUGGUAAUGUUAGCCGACGUAUGUCGUCAUUAGUCGCGGCGUGUCUCGUCAUUGGCCCAUAUCUUAUGGGAGGAGCGCAGAGAGGCGGGGAAAGGAAGUCGGAAACCAGAUUUAAACCAAAUUUGAACCGUUUCCUCUGUUUGCUGCUGCUGUGAGAAAACGUCGUCAUCGAAGAGGUCUGGAUGCUAAAACAAACUCUGAUGCUGCUUUUUUGUCGUUAAUGAAGAGGUCUGGAUGCUAAAACAAACUCUGGAGCUGUUUUUGUCGAACACGAGUGAGACUGGACGCUGAACACACCUGCGGCGCGAAGGUUUACUCGUUCAGCUGCUGCAGCCUGGACAGGAACACCAACUCUCACCAAACAAACCAAACAGAGAGUCUUUGUACAAUGAAGAAGUUCUUUGAAACCAGGACGGAGGCCUCCAGGAUUCAAACUUCAACUAUUAAAGCACAGAGAGAAGAUACCAACGUGAAGACAUUUCCAGAAGGUCUUCAGCUGCUGUCGUCUUCUCCUCCUGCAGAGACAAGAACACGUUAAUCACAGAAACUGAUCAGUCAAUCUAAAUAUUUUUAUGACAUUUUUUCAUGUUUUUAUGCCUUGUGGGUUGGAUUUUCAUUUUGGUAUUUUGCUAUUUCAAACAGUGCAAUACCAGUACUCAAAUCCAAUCUAUUACUGCGUACAUAGUCCUGUUUAUGCUGUUCAUAAUUUUUAUGUAUUGUCUUGUGUAUAUAUAAUGACCUUUUCUGUUUUUGCUGUUGCAACACUGAAUUUCCCCAUUGUGGAACUGAUAAAUAAAUAC